UUAGAUGUUCGGGGCCGCACGCGCGCUACACUGAAGGAAACAGCGUGUCUUCUCCCCGUCCGACGGGGCCGGGUAAACCGCUGAAAUUCCUUCGUGAUGGGGAUAGGGGAUUGUAACUGUUCCCCUCGAACGAGGAAUUCCUUGUAGUCGCGGAUCAUCAGUCCGCGGCGAAUAAGUCCCUGCCCUUUGUACACAUCGCCCGUCGAUGCUACCGAUCGAACGGAUCAGUGAGGUCUUUGGACUGGCGUUCUCUACGGACUCUCGUCCGGAAGGAACCUGCCGGGAAGAUGACCGAACUCGUGCGUUUAGAGGAAGUAAAAGUCGUAACAAAGUUUCC
rnacentral:rRNA from 2 species